AUGGCCAUCUCUGAGCUAGUGUUGUGCUAAUGUGAUCUUUUCUCCUCUCCUUCCAGUUAGCACAAAAGAAGAAUCGGAGAAGAAAAGGAAGAGACGGCUGUGGUUUCUGUAGAUUAGAAGAACGCUGGUCCCUGUGACUUCAGUAAGAGAGAGAGUCUGAGGCCAGCUUCAGCAGCAAGCUACCUUGAGUUAAAGACUCGGGCAGUGAUGAGUGUUUCUCACUGAAGGGCAUGACCUUGAUGACAAUUCAAACCAUUCUCAU
rnacentral:lncRNA from 1 species